rnacentral:rRNA from 1 species
AGUGAACGCUGGCGGUAGGCCUAACACAUGCAAGUCGAACGGCAGCACAGUAAGAGCUCGCUCUUACGGGUGGCGAGUGGCGGACGGGUGAGGAAUACAUCGGAAUCUACUUUUUCGUGGGGGAUAACGUAGGGACACUUACGCUAAUACAGCAUACGACCUACGGGAGAAAGCAGUGGAUCUUCGGACUUUGCGCGUUUGAAUGAGACGAUGUCGGAUGAGCUAGUUGGCAGGGUAAAGGCUCACCAAGGCGACGAUCCGUAGCUGAUCUGAGAGGGUGAUCGGCCACACUGGAACUGAGACACGGUCCAGACGCCUACGGGAGGCAGCAGUAGGGAAUGUUCCGCAAAGGGAGAAAGCCUGACGGAGCAACGCCGCGUGAGUGAUGAAGGUCUUCGGAUCGUAAAACUCUGUUAUUAGGGAAGAAAAAAUGUGUAAGUAACUAUGCACGUCUUGACGGUACCUAAUCAGAAAGCAACGGCUAACUACGUG